UACGUAGGUGGCAAGCGUUGUCCGGAAUUACUGGGUGUAAAGGGAGCGUAGGCGGGAGUGUAAGUUGGUUGUAUAAACUAUCGGCUCAACCGGUAGAGGCAAUCAAAAACUGCAUUUUCUUUGAGUGAAGUAGAGGUAGGCGGAAUUCCUAGUGUAGCGGUGAAAUGCGUAGAUAUUAGGAGGAACACCAGUGGCGAAGGCGGCCUACUGGGCUUUAACUGACGCUGAGGCUCGAAAGCGUGGGUAGCAAACAGG
rnacentral:rRNA from 1 species